UACGGGGGGAGCAAGCGUUGUUCGGAUUUACUGGGCGUAAAGGGCGCGUAGGCGGCGUAACAAGUCACUUGUGAAAUCUCCGGGCUUAACCCGGAGCGGCCAAGUGAUACUGUUGUGCUAGAGUGCGGAAGGGGCUACUGGAAUUCUCGGUGUAGCGGUGAAAUGCGUAGAUAUCGAGAGGAACACCUGCGGCGAAGGCGGGUAGCUGGGCCGAUACUGACGCUGAGGAGCGAAAGCGUGGGGAGCGAACAGG
rnacentral:rRNA from 1 species